CAGAAAGGACACAAAUUAAACAGAGGAUUCCCCUUCUCUCAUCAGUGAGCAAAAUCAAAAGAUUAGAAAAUGUAUUGUAAGUUGUCAUCUUGCAAAAUCUAGAAAUAACAUGGAGUGCUUUCUCUAAACAUACAUAUUUUUUCAGAGAUGAUGUGUGAGAAGGUAGGAAAAAAAGGGAAGUAGAGGGGCUAUCUGCCUUCCAAAGGACCUUAAGGUUUCUUAAGGUCCUCUGCGAUAACCUGGUUUGAUUUUUGAUACACAGCAAUGAGAUACUCAAAGUGGUAAUUCGCUUCUUGUAAUUCCAAGUAUAGAAAAAUCACAAACCUGCAUGUGAUUCCUUUUCCAUUUAAUUAUGCGUGUAACUGUGGGCUUAUAAUGCACUGCACUGAAGGAUUGGAACGCUCAAGUGUUUGGUGUCUUGUGUAAAAAUAAAGAAAUAAAAAUACGCCAAGUGUUUUGCAGAAAGCAGUGGGUGCUGUGGCUGUUUGCUGCUGAGGAGGGCCCACUGCUCUACCUGUGUACACAAGCGCUUCCUGAAUUGCAGUGCUCAGCAAUUUUCUUGUACCACGGAGGAUCGUCUGUCACUCUUAAAUAAUAGCACUACCUGCUCAUUUAGGGUUUUCUCAAGGUUUCAGCAAUGUCAGUCUGAAUUGUGCUGUCUUGUAGAGGAGAGGCCUGUGUGGCAAAGCAAACUCUGAAGUGAGCAGUGAAGAUAAUGGAUGGAGAUGUUUUUCUAAGGGAGAACUCAUAGCUACGAAACUGGUUCUCCAUCAUCAGAAAAUGAUUUUUGUAAAAAUUUUUUAAGCUCUCUAAAGGAGUAAAAAUUGGUUGUUGGGUUCCUUCAGUCAAGGACCCGCUGCUGCCUGCUGGGAGAGCUGCCGGCUGCGCUGCCAUAACGGGCUGCGGCGUGGGCAGGGCAGGCAGCAGCUGGGGCGUCUGCAGCCAGGAACGAGGAAUGCCCAAAGAAGUCAAACAUAUGGAUGUGGCAAAUAGCUAUGUGGCAGAGCACCAGGAACUGUAAAAAUGAAGCACAAGAAGGAGAAUCUGGGGAACUCACAGGCUGGUUGGCUUCACCUCCGCACCUCUGAAAGCUAUGGAGCAAGUCAUCCCAAAGCUGCUUCCAGCAUCAGGGAGAGCAAGCCAUCAGCUGGGAGCAACCAACACUGAAUUCACCAAAAGCAAAUUGUGCCUGACCAUCCAGGCAGCUGGAAUCCAGGACAGAGGAAUGGAGAUCACCAAGGGAUGCUGAACAUUAAGGCUUCAAAAAGGAUGCACAAUCUUCUAGAUAUCAAAGUAUUAAAAAAAAACUGUGACAUUUCUAGUAAGUGGACUUUCUCAUGUAUUAAACUGGUUUGUGGGGAUAAAGGUACAUUUUCUUUGUCUAUUUGCUCCCCUCCUGCUAAGACAGUGGUGUACCUGUUUUGAUGUGAACAUUUAUUCAGCUGAACUGAAACCAUCAAUUCAUUUUUGCAGAGGUCACCAAAAAUCCAUCAGGUGGUAAUGACAUUCAGUCACUACUGAUGUGGGCUGGAUGUGAGCCAGUGAUCUAGAGGAGAAAGGCAGUCUAACCCAUUACCAGUCCCCUGGAGACAGCCAGUCCCCCACUUUUUGCUCAUCUUUCUGCUUCUACUGCUCUCAUAGGUUAAUCUUUCUUCUUCUAUGUCUAAUGUGAUAAUCUUUCUUUUCUCACAUAUCAGCUUUUCACUUUCUUGACAGUACUGCUGGCAAACAUCCUCAGCAUUUUUUCUUCUGAUGCAUAAGGUAUUAGUUAGGGCAGUGGUCAACAGGGGUUAUUUAAAUACAAAACAAACCAAAUCCUAACCACACAAAUGGAAUAUUUUAUUAUAGCCUUUCAAAGAAGGGAAUAAGUUGGUAAACAUUUUAAAAGUUCUUAUAAGAAUGUGGACAUGAAGGCCUGGGCCUGCCUUUAUGCUGUAUUGCUGUAAUUCAAAUUAUCUCAUUCAGCUACUAGAAAUACGUACCUUGGCAAAUUGUGCUUUUCAGCCUCUGGUGUUUCUGGCAGUGUCAGUGUCACAAGCUGCUUAACACCCUCCACCCCUCCCCAGUAGUCUAGUCCUAUUCUACUACACAGCAGUACUCUUUCAGCAUCUUAGCCAUGCAGAGGAUCAGACCAUGUUAGGUCAGGUGCAGUGCUGUGAUGGGGUGGCUGUGCUGCUCAUGAUGUUAUUGUUGGUUGGGCUGUACUUGGUAAGAGAGCUGAAAGUCUGUACCUAUGUGCCAAACAGUAAGAAUUGACACAGGAUACAAAACUGGAUGCUGGUGAACAUUUGUUUGGACUCAGUGUUCGUUCUGAGGUGAUAAAACCCAAGAAUAUUUCCUUACUAUUUUUUUUAGAUGGUUCCUCCUUACUGCUAUACUGUAUAAAUGCAUUUGAAAGAGAAUUUCUAAGAAAAGUUGCAAUGGGGCUAUAAACUAACACAUUACAUAAAAAUGUAUUCAUUGUGGAAAAGGGUUUGCAGCCAUCCUGAAAGUACUUUGUUGCUGCUGGAGUGUCUCUAGUUAGGGGAGAAAAGAAUCCUGUGACAAAUUAUAACGUGCAAGAUUUGCUGUGAGUAUUUUGAAAGCAGUUUGUGUUCUAAGAUGCUUCUCCAUAACAACGCAGUCUAUUUUUAAAUGCUUUAUCAACAUUUAAAAAUAAAGCUUUGUUAUUUGAAUUGAAUUAAUUUUGUUGAGGUCAACUGGGUUUUAAAUGGAUACUUUGACCUUAAUCAUAGGUUACUCCAAUGAGCUGAGAGCUAUAAUAGCAAUAUCUACCCAAGUGUCCUGUGCAACUUUCCACCCUCCUUCCCCCCUCCUUCCCCUUCCAAGUGAAAGAAA